rnacentral:rRNA from 1 species
AGAGUUUGAUCCUGGCUCAGAACGAACGCUGGCGGCAGGCCUAACACAUGCAAGUCGAGCGAGGGGUAACCCUAGCGGCGGACGGGUGAGUAACGCGUGGGAACGUGCCCUUUGCUACGGAAUAGCCCUGGGAAACUGGGAGUAAUACCGUAUGAGCCCUUUGGGGGAAAGAUUUAUCGGCAAAGGAUCGGCCCGCGUUGGAUUAGGUAGUUGGUGGGGUAAUGGCCUACCAAGCCGACGAUCCAUAGCUGGUUUGAGAGGAUGAUCAGCCACACUGGGACUGAGACACGGCCCAGACUCCUACGGGAGGCAGCAGUGGGGAAUCUUAGACAAUGGGCGCAAGCCUGAUCUAGCCAUGCCGCGUGAGCGAUCAAGGCCUUAGGGUUGUAAAGCUCUUUCAGGGGGGAAGAUAAUGACUGUACCCCCAGAAGAAGCCCCGGCUAACUCCGUGCCAGCAGCCGCGGUAAUACGGAGGGGGCUAGCGUUGUUCGGAAUUACUGGGCGUAAAGCGCACGUAGGCGGACUGGAAAGUCAGGGGUGAAAUCCCGGAG